ACUCCUAGCUUGAUUAUUGGACUAAUCUAUUUAACUAUAGAAGCAAUACUGUUAAUAUGAGUAACAAGAAAAAUUUUCUCCUCGCACAAGCUUACAUCAGUAACUGAUACUAUACUGAUAAUUAACAGUUAAUAAAUACAACCCAACACUAAAUUAUUUAUUAAAUACACUGUUAACCCAACACAGGCGUGCACUAAGGAAAGAUUAAAAAAAGUAAAAGGAACUCGGCAAGCACAAACCCCGCCUGUUUACCAAAAACAUCACCUCUAGCAUAACUAGUAUUAGAGGCACUGCCUGCCCAGUGACUUAAUCGUUAAACGGCCGCGGUAUUUUGACCGUGCAAAGGUAGCAUAAUCACUUGUUCUCUAAAUAAGGACUUGUAUGAAUGGCCACACGAGGGUUUUACUGUCUCUUACUUUUAAUCAGUGAAAUUGACCUCCCCGUGAAGAGGCGGGGAUAAUAAAAUAAGACGAGAAGACCCUAUGGAGCUUUAAUUAAUCAACCCAAAAAUCACAAAACAGUACCACCUAAGGGAUAACAAAAUUUUAUAUGGGUUGACAAUUUCGGUUGGGGUGACCUCGGAGCACAAAAAACCCUCCGAGUGAUUAAAACCUAGGCCUACUGGCCAAAGUGUAGUAUCACUUAUUGAUCCAAGUUUUUGAUCAUCGGAACAAGUUACCCUAGGGAUAACAGCGCAAUCCUAUUCUAGAGUCCAUAUCGACAAUAGGGUUUACGACCUCGAUGUUGGAUCAGGACAUCCUAAUGGUGCAGCAGCU
rnacentral:rRNA from 1 species